rnacentral:rRNA from 1 species
UACGUAGGGUGCGAGCGUUGUCCGGAAUUAUUGGGCGUAAAGGGCUCGUAGGCGGUUUGUCGCGUCGGGAGUGAAAUCCACUGGCUUAACUGGUGGCUUGCUUUCGAUACGGGCAGACUGGAGGUAUGCAGGGGGAGAACGGAAUUCCUGGUGUAGCGGUGGAAUGCGCAGAUAUCAGGAGGAACACCGGUGGCGAAGGCGGGUCUCUGGGCAGUAACUGACGCUGAGGAGCGAAAGCGUGGGGAGCGAACAGG